UUCGCCCUUAGAGUUUGAUCCUGGCUCAGGACGAACGCUGGCGGCGCGCCUAACACAUGCAAGUCGAACGAGCGAGAGGAGGUUUACUUUCUCAAGCGAGUGGCGAACGGGUGAGUAACGCGUGAGGAACCUGCCUCAAAGAGGGGGACAACAGUUGGAAACGACUGCUAAUACCGCAUAAGCCCAUGACCCGGCAUCGGGUAGAGGGAAAAGGAGCAAUCCGCUUUGAGAUGGCCUCGCGUCCGAUUAGCUAGUUGGUGAGGUAAUGGCCCACCAAGGCGACGAUCGGUAGCCGGACUGAGAGGUUGAACGGCCACAUUGGGACUGAGACACGGCGCAGACUCCUACGGGAGGCAGCAGUGGGGAAUAUUGCACAAUGGGGGAAACCCUGAUGCAGCGACGCCGCGUGGAGGAAGAAGGUCUUCGGAUUGUAAACUCCUGUUGUUGAGGAAGAUAAUGACGGUACUCAACAAGGAAGUGACGGCUAACUACGUGCCAGCAGCCGCGGUAAAACGUAGGUCACAAGCGUUGUCCGGAAUUACUGGGUGUAAAGGGAGCGCAGGCGGGAAGACAAGUUGGAAGUGAAAUCCAUGGGCUCAACCCAUGAACUGCUUUCAAAACUGUUUUUCUUGAGUAGUGCAGAGGUAGGCGGAAUUCCCGGUGUAGCGGUGGAAUGCGUAGAUAUCGGGAGGAACACCAGUGGCGAAGGCGGCCUACUGGGCACCAACUGACGCUGAGGCUCGAAAGUGUGGGUAGCAAACAGGAUUAGAUACCCUGGUAGUCCACACUGUAAACGAUGAUUACUAGGUGUUGGAGGAUUGACCCCUUCAGUGCCGCAGUUAACACAAUAAGUAAUCCACCUGGGGAGUACGACCGCAAGGUUGAAACUCAAAGGAAUUGACGGGGGCCCGCACAAGCAGUGGAGUAUGUGGUUUAAUUCGACGCAACGCGAAGAACCUUACCAAGUCUUGACAUCCUGCGACGAUGCUGGAAACAGUACUUUCCUUCGGGACGCAGAGACAGGUGGUGCAUGGUUGUCGUCAGCUCGUGUCGUGAGAUGUUGGGUUAAGUCCCGCAACGAGCGCAACCCUUAUGGUCAGUUACUACGCAAGAGGACUCUGGCCAGACUGCCGUUGACAAAACGGAGGAAGGUGGGGAUGACGUCAAAUCAUCAUGCCCUUUAUGACUUGGGCUACACACGUACUACAAUGGCGUUAAACAAAGAGAAGCAAGACCGCGAGGUGGAGCAAAACUCAGAAACAACGUCCCAGUUCGGACUGCAGGCUGCAACUCGCCUGCACGAAGUCGGAAUUGCUAGUAAUCGCAGAUCAGCAUGCUGCGGUGAAUACGUUCCCGGGCCUUGCACUCACCGCCCGUCA
rnacentral:rRNA from 1 species